CUUGUAAAUGCUCUUAUCUAUUCGGUGGUCUUGAGAAGUAAAGAACGACGAUAGAGAAAUGUUGUUUUGCAAGUAAUUAAAUAGAGAAGCCGCAUGUUAAUUUUAAAAUGAAAAUGAAUGGCUUUUAGUGUGAUAAUAUGGAUGCCUAUCUAAAUCCUCAUACUUGAAACAAGAGGGCUUGCAUGAAAUUAACCUCGUCGUUCUUUACUUCUCAAGACCACCGCAUAGAUAAGAGCAUUAUUUCCAUACUACCUUCUUAAAUUUCCAUACAAG
rnacentral:pre_miRNA from 1 species